UACACAUUUUUCCCUCCCACUUGUUUCUUGUUCUCUGCAACAUAUCUCUAAAUACACAUACAUACAUACAAAGAUGCUAUCCCUCUCAACAGCAUCUUCCCUUAAACUACAUAAACAACACUCUGCUACACCUUCGUCCUCAUCUCCCUGCUCGAUGAAGACCGGCCAGCCACCAUCACUGGUGGCGGCACACGGCGGCGUAGCGGAACCCCACAGCCGACGGCGUUGUGGGGGUGGCAUCGGGUGGUGACGAGAACCGAGAGAGGGAAUUAUCGACAGAAAGAGAUAUCGGGAAGAAGGAGCGACGACGGCUGUGGCGCCGUCGUCUACGGCGGUGGCGAGGUGGGUGUCGUCGGAGUGUUGGUUCAGGCACAGAGAGACAGAGAUCGAGAGUGUUUGAGUUGGAAAUGGGGAGCCGACGUCACCGGCGACGAUGGUGUUGUUUCUUUGUUUUUCGACAGAGUCUCCGGUAAGAGUCGUUUUCCAUCUCUUCUCUUCUUUUUCUUUUAUUUCCUGAAGAUUGAUGACCGAUGAUGAUGAACGUUACUGCUGUUGUUGUUAUUGAUGAUGAGGUGAAUACCGGUGGUGGCCGACGGCGGCUGUAGCCGCCGAAGAUGAUGACGGCAGAGGCGGUGAAUGGCGGUGGCUUACUCGGUUCAGUCCAGUUGCAGAUUCGGGUUAUCUUUUGGUGCGGAAUCAUAUGAUAUGGUUUAAUAAACCUGACAUUUUGAUUUGGAAUGAAUCCUAAGUGCUUUCGACCCGUUAUGACUCGUGAAGGAUGAUAGGCAAGAUGAUGCUAAGUGAAGAAACAAGAUUUAAGUGGACUUAGAAACACACCUUGAUUAAACUAUUUUGUUGUUGUACAUUCGAAACAAUGUUGUUUAUGUUGAAUUCUUGUAUUAUACUUUAGCAAUUUAUGAAAUCCAAUUUAAUUUAUAUUG